UGGAUGCUGAUUGCACCCUGACACUAUUGAUUGCGGGGGGGGAAAAAACCCCAAAACCUCCCCAACAAAAAUAAGUCAGAAAGGCUGGCUUGGCAGAGAAAGGGGCAAUGGAAGAAGGCACUGAGGCUGGAGACAGCAGGGAAGGUGGCCUGAGGAGAGCGGAGCUCUGUGCUCAGCGAGGAAAGGCCUUUGGAAUGGCGUAGUCCUGCCUGUGAUCCUGUGGAAAAAUGAGGAUUUUCAAUGGUCAGGUUCUAAGAGACAUCCCCAGCCAUGGGAGAAGAAGAUGAAGUCUGAAGAAGACAAUAAAACACAUUGGCCUGGUAAUGAGCAGGAGUGUAGAUGGUGUUGAUAGGAAAGCAGUUAUGCAGUCUGGAGGAAGUGGAAAUAAUUUGUUAUCAAAGGGCAGUUCAUUUCUCUCGGUUGUGUGCUUGCAAUCCUGUACUUUCCCAUAGAGUGUCACAAAACCAAAGCUGUGGUGUCUCAGGGCCACCACAGAAACCAGGGCAUUGAACAAAUGAGGGUCCCACACACGAGGGCUUUUGUGCUCAGAGAAGUUCACUGCUUUUUGCAUUUCUUUUUGUGCUUAGUAACUACCCCUAGAGCCCACUCAGCACGUGUGUUACAUACCUGCACGUGUGCUUGUCUAAGCAUGGUUGCACGAGACUCUCAAAUUCACGUAAUUUCAAAACAGAGUAAAUUUACAUUUAUCCUUUGGGCUUAAUUACCAAAUAUUUAUUUGAAGAAAUAAACUUUAUAUUUAAUAACUGACUUGCUGUAGGCUGGCGGGAAAUGUCAGUAACAGCAGCAGAGAUGAAACCAUGAAUUCUGAAAGCAGCAAGUCUUUCUCAGCUCCACCACAAAGGACGGGGCAUUUCAGAGGCUAGGGAGAGUCCUGGUCUGGGGAUUUUGUAUUUCCUCAGGCUUCAUUCCUUUAGAACAAAGUUCUUUUUUUAAAAAGUGAUCUCACAAGGAGUUAGGAGCAAUCAAAUUAGGAGGAUCUGACCAUUAGGAGACAAACAUUGAAUUAAGCUUUAAUUAAUUGGAAGAGGAGAAAAUGAUUGGUCUUUUCAGGUAGUUCAUGCAGUGGAAUGGCACCUUUUGUAUCUGCUGGAAUAUUUACUUCAGGACUUAUGAAUAUACAUUGGUAUGUUCCAACACUCCCUUGUUCUGAGUGAAGAAUUCUGAAUGUUUGGAUCUCUUGCUUGCAUGGUAGGAAAUGGGCUCUGAACCAAGUGGAUGUUCUGCAGACAUAAGGGGAAGGCUGAUUAACUUGUUUCCUUUAUGCCAAUUUAGUGAAGCUUGAAGUGAAAUCUAAUGGCAGCAAUCAUAACAAGCAAAUCCUUUUCUGUGUAAUAACAUAAGAAAAACAGCAAGGGGUGUGGGAUUAAAAGAACAGUAUAGUUUAUUUAAUUUAGCAGAAUGGGAAAUACCUUGCUUUGCACCAGAUUAAUAUCAUCAUUAAUACCAGAAAACAGAUUAUUUCUGUUUGCAUCUGGUCACUUCACCUUCCCUGCCCUCCAUCCCUGCCAUAUAACAGCCUGCCACAGGCAUGUGGAGGUGUGACAUCCUUUACACGAUCCUGUGGACUGAGCUGGUGGUUUAUUGUCAUUGUCACACGGUCACAGAGGGACUGGUGCACCUGCAGGAAGCGAUGGGACAACCACAAAGGCUGCCCAAAGGGUUUCUGCCCUGUGUGGGAUCCUUGGGGAGACCAAAGGAUCGAAUUCCCCCUCCGAGGAGCUGGUACAAACACCUGUGUUCAUGUACAGGAAGAGGUUUGUCCGACAAAGCUCACAUGCUCCAGCCAUCUGGACGUGAUAAAAGGGAAAAGAUUAUGGCAGAACCAAUUAUUCCUUCCCAGGAUGGAGAGAAAGGAUUUGGUUCCAUUUCACGUGGAAAAGGUGGAAAGAGGAAUGUAUUAAUGCUGGCCGGAGAGGUCCCAGUCGCUUGGCAGAGGGGGUGAACCACAGGGACCCUCUUGGGGCUGUGCCGAGCUUACAGCUCUUCACGAUUCUCCUUCUCACGCAGCCCAGCCUGCAGCCUGCGGCCUGAGCAUUGGGGUCCGGCCCCCGCAGUGAAGACCACGGAGUGUCCAGCACAGGGUGACAUCUGCGGGGCCUCAGCUGCGUGCGUGAGAGUGCUCGGGGGCAGGAACAGCUCCGAAAAACCCAAAAAACCCUUUUUAUCUGCUCCGUGCGCAGGCUCCGAGCGGGCGGCAGCGCUCCCGAGCCGCCGCUUUCGGGGGAGGUGGUGCUGGGAAACCAAACCAAUAAACGCGGCUGCGGGAAACUGCUGAGUCAAGACUGGGGAAAUCACGUGAAAAGCCAAAAAAAGAAAGCUUGGUGGGGAGGUGAAGAGAUCAGAGAGCAGGUUGCAGCAGAGAGCUGCGAAAUUUCCUGUAAACCCGCUCGUGUCGCGACGCAGCUGGAAAAACAUUCCCGGCUGGAGCGGGCUGGGAGCGGCGGCAGCGUCACACGAACCCGGCUGGGUUCAUCGCGGGCUGGAGGCUGAGCGUGGAAGCAAGGCAGGAGCUGGGCCUUGGCACGGUGCUGGGCCGGCAGCUGUCCCUUCUCUGUCCCACUGCUGUCCCUUCGCUGUCCCAUUGCUGCCCCUCGGCGCUGCGGGGUGUCGGGGUGCCCCGCGGUGCUCCAAGCGUUUCCAGCUGCUGCUGGAUGUGAUGUGUGCUGCAACACUCAGCAGCUGGGUUAACAUGUGGCAGAGGAUGAGAUUGAUGCGUUUUGUGAGUCAGACCAAGCUGCUUGUAGAUGUAGCUCUGUUUAAUGUGAAAAAAAAAAGAACUUGUUUGACUGACAAGAUGUUCUUUGGGCUUGUUCCAGCAAAGGAGAGGUGUGUCAAUGCUCUGGCUUUUGUGGUUUGAUCGACAUGCAGUGCUAACUUGCUGGAGAUACAUCUGUCAGCUUCAGAGCAGAAUUCAUUGUGUGAAAAUGGCUCUGCACAGAAGGCACCGCCCACUUCCAGCUCUUAUGAAAGAUGUGUUGGCUGUAACAUUUUCUGAGAGAUUUCAGCAGGAAAAGAUGUUGCCUCUAAAAUACAAGGCAGGGAGGGAAACUGGAUAUUAUACAGUCAUUUUCAGAACUGGAUAUUUUAACUGCAGGACUUCGGUGCUACAGGAUCCCUUGUGACCUAGAAUAACAUUACAUCCCUUUUACAGAGAACAUAAUGAUAUUUGUAGCUGGUCUAUGGUUUCCAGCUCUGACAGAGAUCAGAAACCAGGUCUGGCAAACACCAGGCUAAUGCCUUUUCACUGCAUUGUCCUGAAACAGAGCUCUUUGGGGGAAUGAGCUCUCUCCAGUUGGAAGUUCUGUUUGCUUUGUGCUUUUAGAGCUGGGAUUUGAAGCAGCAGCUGCUGCUGUAGGAUUAAAAAGGGAGAAACUGAAGGGAUACACACACAGCCCCAGUUCUGCAAGCAACAAAAUCGGAGUCCUGUGGUUGCAGAACCAGUUGUGACCUACUCCCCAGCCACAUCCUACAAACCAGCUUUACCUGUGCAGUGACAGGGUUUCACUCACCUCUGCAGAGGCUGUUUUGUAAUUUAUGUUCCCAUCUCAUGCCCAGCCUUCACUGAAAAUUAAUUAAUUAAAGAUCAACUUUGCCUUGAGCCUAAAACUAGCACCAGCUGAAGGGCUUUGUGGAUGUAAUUAAGGGCCUGCUUUUGAGAAAGCUAUCUGGUUUUGGCCAUGAUAAUGAAUUUUUUUAGCUAUACCUCAAACUUCAGAGAUUACACAAGGGUAAAACAGAACUGGCACUGUGAUAAUUUCCUAGGACGUUCAAUCCAGAAGGGAAAAAUAAAGUGAUAUGUAAUUGAACAUGUUGCUAAUAAUCCAGGACUGAUAUUUCACACUGAAUUAAAACAACUACUGCUCCAAAUAGUAACAAGCAAUCUAUUCCUUAUCAUUUCAGGUGCAAUUUACUUGCAUGCUAGCCCCUUUCUGCAAAGUCAUAGUGACUAAGCUUUGCAAAGAAGCACAGGAGCCCUUGGGCCCUGCAAAGGCCUGGGCAGUGAUCCUCUGCACUCCUUAAUUGCAUAACACAUCUAAAUGUGGGAUCUACUGAAAGCAGUUAUUGCAACUUCCCUGUUACUGCAAAUAUCAUUAAAUGGAACAGGAUCUGUAGACUUACCUUGUUGAAAAGACAAAAUUUCAUACCAAGUUAUGAUUACUCAGGCACUUUAACACAGAAGUACCUGGUGACAUCAUGUUUUCCUCCAGCUCUAAAAAACAGGUGUUGCAAGCAGACAAACAACUGAUUGUUUUAAGGAGUAAGAUAAAGAACUAUCAACAGUUACAGAGAAAAUUAGGUUACUUGUAUUCUCCUGUCUGAAUAGUCUCCUUAGGCUGCAAGAGCCGACCAAACUUUUGAUCUAACAAAUGUAACAAUGCUGGUAGCAGAAGAACUCUUGGAAUUCAGCAGAUACAAGCAGAGGGGAUAUGAUAAGGAGACAAUUCCAAAAGAAAAAGCCGCAUGAGAAGGUGGCCAGCCCAGCAACAAUGGAACCCAGCAGGAAAUCAAGAGUCCACUGACCAGAAUUUUGUGUUUGACUUGGCCUGGGUGAUGAGUGUCAGGAUAUAACUGAGAGGUGUGAACUGGGGUAGGGGUCCCUCUCCAGAGGCACCAGUUCGAGCUGCAACCAAAGAACUAACAGGAGACUAAUUGGAAACAUUCACUUGCACUUGGCAUUCUUAGUGGGGUCCUAGGGUCAGACACAGUUACUGUGGCUGGUCUGUGUAAAUCUUUAGCAAUUGAUAAAAAUUUAGUAUUUGCUGGAUGCGAACUACUUUUCCUCAGCUUAAGAGGUUUAUUUGCAGUGCUGCAAUAUCCUGCUGAUUCUAGAAAAUUCACUUUCAAAGUUACUUUUUGGUUUAAUUUAUAUCCUAAUGCUAAUUUUCUAUAAGCAGCAGCAAGACAAUCUGUGAGUCAUUUGAAAGGUGACCUUGUACUACGAAACAAUUACUUAACCAGGAAAAAAACCUGCUCCUUUGUAGAUUAACCAACAUCCAUUGUUUCUUUUCCCAGUUAACUCCGUGUAUUAAAAGAUAUCCUUUGCACAAAGUUCAGUGCCUCUCAACCACUGCAAUAAAUUAUGAGGUGUUGAUUGUUUAAAUUCCACAGUAUGUCCACAGGCCCCAGCCUCUUUAAGGGGGAACAAAAAAGGUAAAUCCAAAACUACCAUCUUAAAUUUGAUUUGUCAUCAGUUAUUCUCAAUCAGGAGGAAGUGCAGUGGCAUAUAUUGUAUUUCACAUGGGAAAAAGAAUGAAAGAAUAUGAAUGAAUUUGCUGCUCUGUUUUUUUUUUUCCUCAGAGUAGACAGAUAAUCUAUCAGUCUCCAAACAGUCAUCUGUUCCUGCAAGAUUAUUAUUAUUAUUUUUUUUAAGAAUGUAGGAAAUAUCCUCCUUAAGGAGAAAGCAUUGGUGGAAAAACCAUGCCAUGCAUUUAGCUGCCUCCAAGUGUGAGACGGGAAGGAAGGAGCCGAGCAGGAUUGGUGGCAGGUGCUUCCCAGACCUGCCCAAGCCCACCUGCCCCGGAGUGCUGUGUGGUUCCAGCAGGGCAGGCUCAGCCCCCUGCAGCCCACACCAACCUCCAGAACAGCUCACAGCACCGGCACCUGCUCUGCUACAGCCAUCCCAGUUCCCAGAAUUCAAAAAGGAAAUCCAAAACACUCCAUCUCCCCCUUCCACCGAGUCAGUGCUCCUGAGCUGGGAAGGGCCAGGCUGGACACAGUCCUUCUGCUCAGAUUUAACCCAGCUGCUCAGGGUGAAGAAAAAUCAAGAAAUGGCCAAUUGGCUAUUCUUAAUAAGAGAAGCAAAUUCUCUAUACAGCUCUGUCCUUCAUACGUCAAUAAUCAUUCCAGGGUCGUUACAAUAACGAUAAAAGUGGGAGACAAGGAAUAUUCACACAGCAGGAGAGGUGCCUCCUUCAGGAACAAGGCACCACCUCUGGUAUUUUUGUGUAUUUCUGCCACUUGUACACAUUCUAAUCCCAAUUCAGGGUCUAUGAAGAUGCUUAUUUCCUUCCCCUCCAAGAACCAUAGAAGACUUAGCAAAAAACACAAAAUAAAAAAAUUCAGGAAUGGAAGCCACUUAGAAAACUCAAGGGAUUUUAAUGACUGAAUGAAUAAAGAACUACUUAUUAUAUUUAAGUAGCAAACAAGUAUUUUGCUAUCAAAGCACAAGCUAAAGAAUUUAAAGAAGCCAUAAACAUUAGUAAGCCCAACAUACAGAACUUGGAGUAAGAAGGCAUUUUACACACAAGAGUUUAUCAACACAAAACUGUUUAAUAUUUAUUAAAUGACACAAAAUACCUAGAUAACAGACUCACUCUCUGAAAGGACAUGUAUUUACAUUAUUUACCAACUUAAGAAAGACUCUCUGUACCCAUAUCAGACUUAUGAAACAUAAAAAAGGUUUUGCUGCUUUUUGCAUCGAAGGAUGCAACGGUGAUACAUGCCCUGUUUGCAAGUCUGCAUAAACUAUAAGUUUUUGAUGCUGUGAAAAAGCACAUUUUCAUAUUCUGGUAGCUGAGGGAAGAGGCUUCUGAAAAGUAACAGGGUUAGUUUUCCCCCCCCACUCCAGACACACUCUCAAGACUUUUGUUAUACAAAAAGUAUAUUACAUUUUUGAAUGCUGCUGUACUCUUACAAUUUUAGUGUAACGUUUCAAAGAAAAUGUUCUUCCUACUAUAUGAGAGCACUAAAAAAAGAGUGGUAUUUGAACAUUUUUUUAGAUGCACUUUUUUUUUUUUGUUUUAAAAGAAAGCAUUAGGGCAAAUGAUAUGUCUAGGAAAAAAUGAAAGGCUGACAAAAAAAAAAUAAAGCUGAGACCAAAAUAUGAAGAACAGCUAAAGCAACUUAACGAUUUGCUAGGGUUUGUUUUUUUGUGUUUUUUUUUAAUUAACUAUUUACUUUGGCACCUUCGUGUAAACUAUAGAACAAAACAACGUUUACAACACAUUUGCAAUUACAGCAUUUAAACAAAAUGGUCACUUUUGAAACUAGCCAAGACAAAAAAAUAGUCCAUUUAUGGGUAUAAAGAUUAAAAAACCUAAAAUAUAUAUUUCUAAGAAUAAACUGCAAUUUCUUAUGAACAAGGUGCUAUAAACUGCAUGCAAGAGUCAAGAUUAAAAAUGUGUGGCCAAAAAGACAAGCUGUGUUCUAGCCAGAUGAGUUGUGGUCCAAGCCCAUUUCAGUUUUUCUUACAGAGAUAUAUAUGGCUCAAUAAGCAGGCACACGAUCCCAGCAAGAAUUUGCGGAGUUGUACGACGACAAAUCUUGGCUGCGGCUUUGUCAUUAACCAGGAAUGAGCCAGACCUCAGCAGAAGAGAUGAACAAGUUCCUGGGGAAAACCCAUGAAGCUACAAGGAGAAGCCUUCUCCCCUCCCCUCGCUCACCCCUCUCCUGGUCUAGCCAGGGUUCUCAAAGUCCAUUCUUUGGGUUGCUUUAACUGGAUUGCGCUUGGGCUCUGCCUCACAUUGUGAAUUCUGAUGAGAUUUCAGGACAUUUUCUGUAUAAUAUUUUCUGCAUUAGACAGGAUAAAAAUGAAAUAAACCUACAGUCCUUUGCA